rnacentral:misc_RNA from 1 species
GAUGAAGAACGCAGCAAAAUGCGAUAAGUAAUGUGAAUUGCAGAAUUCAGUGAAUCAUCGAAUCUUUGAACGCACAUUGCGCCCGCCAGUACUCUGGCGGGCAUGCCUGUCCGAGCGUCAUUUCAACCCUCAGGGCCCUCCAGCAGGGCGCUGGUGUUGGGGAUCGGCAGUCCCAGCGGCUGCCGUCCCUGAAAUGUAGUGGCGGUCCCACCGUGACCUCCCCUGUGCAGUACAUCGCUCGCAGAGGGACAGCGGUGCGGCCACGCCGUAAAACGCCCAACUCUUCAAGGUUGACCUCGGAUCAGGUAGGACUACCCGCUGAACUUAAGCAUAUCAAUAAGCGGAGGA